rnacentral:tRNA from 2 species
GCCGGCGUAGCUCAACUGGCAGAGCAACCGCCUUGUAAGCGGUAGGUUCGGGGUUCGAGUCCCCGCGUCGGCU